CCCUUAGAUGUUCUGGGCAGCACGCGCGCUACAAUGGUCUUCGCAAACGGAUGCAUACUCGAAGGAGAAUGCCAAUCUUGGAAUCUAUGCCUUGGUCGGGACAGUUGCUUGCAAUUUUUCGACUCGAACCAGGAAUUCCUUGUAAUCGUGAUUCAUCACAUCACGAUGAAUACGUCCCUGCCCUUUGUACACACCGCCCGUCGCUCCUACCGAUCGAAGAGUUAGGUGAAUUGUUUUGAUCGAUAAGAUUUGACUAUGGUCAACUCUCGUUGUGAAAUUCUGUGAAUCUGACUGUUUAGAGGAAGGAAAAGUCGUAACA
rnacentral:rRNA from 1 species